UCUUCUUAUUUAUUUAUUUUUUAAACCAUCUCUUCUGAUAGAAUACAAUUAAUACAGUGUCUAAAACCGCAGUUCAGGCCAUUGGCUGUGGUGGUGGUGGAAGGGGAGAGCGUGUGGAAUGGCCAGUGGCUGGAGCACGUCCUGGACGGAGGAAGGAUGGACCUGGAGUCACAUCUCAGGAAGAAGGAAGAUUCACUACGUCUAGAAAUGCAGAGCCUUGCGAAUACUGUGCCGUAAAGCCCAGCAUCCGGAGCACGGCCCGGCUUGAGGCGCGUAAAUCUGCUUUCCAGAGCCCUGGCACGUCACCUGCUCCCAGAUUCGGAAAAGGGGGUCCACCUCCCCUGGAAGCCGUGGGGUGGCUCUGAAAGCCCUGGCAAUUUCCUUCAGCCUCUUGGAGCGUAAACUGCGUGAGCCUAGAAACUACCCUUGCACCAUCUGGCUCUCAUGUAUUCUCUCCUGUCUUGCCGUGGAUCUCGACCCCGCCUUCUGUCUGUCUACCUUUGCCGCUGUAGAGACGGUUCUCCUUGGAGAAGUUGUAAACUGGAAAAGUUAGACCUUGAACCCAGACCUCUCUGACUCGGGUUCCAUUGUUCUUGCCCUGUACCAUGUGCAUGCCCUCUGAGCUCCCACCUCCCCGCUCAGCUACUCACCCCUGGGUGAAGAAAGCCCCAUCUUCAUUUUAUAGACAGUUGACGGGACCCUGGUUAUCAGCUCUCUGUCCCCCACUAACUGGAGCCGCAGCAGCAGCAGGGCCUGGGCCUGACUGUCCCUGGGCCUCCAGCACACGGCAUCGCGUGGGAGCGGCUGCUGUGCCUCGAGGUCUCUGGCCGUGCUCAAGGUGCACUGCUGUAGGGGAGAGCCAGGCCUGUCACUUCGUCUUCCUUAACUGUAAUAACUGCAGCCAAACAUCAUCAGUCUGACUGGUUAGCGAUGAACGGUAGACUAAAGAAGGAGAAAGGCUGGCCACGCACAUCACAUUCGAGAAACCCACCGUUUAUCUGCUCUAACUGCUUCUUACUGUGUGACCGAUAUUGCCCAGACGUUACUCAAAUUCCUGUUUGAAUGAAUAGACGAAAACAGUCUUUAGUAACUGUAUGUGUCAGAAUUCUCCACAGAAACAGAACCCAUAGGAGAACUGGUGGUUUAGAUCCAGUGUAAGACCCGCAGGCUUGAGACCUAGAAAGAGCUGAGUUUUUAGUUCAGUUUGAGUCCAGAGGCAGGAAAAAAAAAAAAGGAAUCCCAGUUCAAAGGCCACCAGGCGGGAGUUUCCUCUUACUCAGCCUUUUUGUUCUAUUCAAGCCUUCAAAUGAAGCCCACCCACGGGAGGGAGGACAAUCUACUUUAUUCAUCUUCCGAAUUAAAUGUUAAUCUCAUCCCAAAACACCCUUCCAGAAACAGAAUAAGGCCUGAUCCAAUAUCGGGGCACCCUGUAGCCCAGUCUUAUUGACACGUAAAAGUCGCCUUCACAGGAAGCAAAUCAAUAGAUUUUUGUAUAAUGAAUAAUUUUUAAGUGGUUUACAGAGCUUGAGCCUAUUUUGUUCUGUUUUACAUUGUCUAAAUGUUCUGCAAUUUUAUCUUCACCAUGAGUGAACCUACUUCUCAGACCAUUGAAAAGGGGGAGAGAAAGGGAGGGAAGGUGAGUAGCGAGCGGCGAGGGGCACACAUGCCUCUGUAAGGGAUCCCCCCCUUGUUUGCAUGAGAAUGUGAGUCGGCUAGUCCCGAGACCAGCUUGGCAGAUGGAGGCUACCUGGCUUUCAUGAGAUUUGGAGGCCGUGUUUCGUCUUCAGGAACCAGAAUUGAGAAAGCGUGGGGGACUUCAGGAGAUAAUUAAGAGGCAGCAAAACGGAUUUUAUCUCCGACACUCUGGGCUAUUUCUAAUACUGGUUUUACUGAGAACAAGCCACUUGAAUAACGCAUUAAUUAAUUACUGAUAGGUAUAUUUGAUUGAACGUUGCUUCUGUGAUAAAAUAAAGUGCUCACCAUGUAUUAUUUACUAUACUAGAUAUUUUAUAUGUUUUCUUAUUUGA